AGAAAACUCGGAGGAAGAAAAAUGUUGGUCGUGCUAUACUACUAUGAAGACAGAUCAAUCAGCUGGGCCAUACCGCAGAUUAAGGUUUUUCGGCAAUCGUCAGCAAUAUCAAAAGCCUCUACCUACUUCGUUUUUGCAUUUUUGCCUUGCUCCCUGCUGGCAGUUCCGGAUGAGUAGCAUCAUCAAAAAAAUGUUGCAAUUUGCGACACUGGCGCGGUAAACAACCACUUUCGACGCAAAAUUAAAUUGUGCGACCGAUUGGCUCUCAUUGGGGCCGCCUCGGGAAUUGUACAUCAGCAAAUGGAAGCACUCAAUAAACCCGGAACGUUCGAUGAGGGCUGGUAGGAGGGAACCGAACCAAAUCCAUCGUGAAGUGGCUGCACUGCAGAGUAAUACCAAGGAUAAGCGCGACCGGAAGGGUUAAAAUUCGUUGCCAGCACCGUUUUUGGGAUCCGGUGGUGAUUGAUGUCGUUGAUCAUUUCCAAUCCAGGGUAAAAUACAACGAAUGCGAAUGCUGACAGGAUUCGUGAAGAAGUCGACUAUUCGUGGAAGGAAGGCACCAGACACCAGAAGUCGCGAGCUCAGCGUCGUUGACCUAGACCUCUACGGAUCGAUUCGUUCACGGUUCCAUAAGAUACAAGACGUAAGAACUAAUAGCAUAAAGCAACGAAAGAAGAGUAUCAACACUCACCAGAAACGGUUCAACUAGGAAGUGAUUGACUACCAGCCGUGUAUGAGACAAAGCAUAUAGUGUGAACCUGCUAGCUACUUCACUUUAAAGGUGGACCAAAACACAGAACUUAGUUCUUUGGUUGCCCCAUUGUUUGGUUUGUCUCCGCAGGACACGAGUGUGGAGGACCUGGAGCUAGGAACGUGUGCGUCUCGUUGCUGUAAUAAUUAAUUACCAGACAACAAACGUACGAGCCAACAGCAGCAACAGCAAAGACACGGUGAGAAGCCACCCAAGUGCAACAAAGAUUUCACCCAAUCUUGCAAUCUACAAUCGCACUACCGCCACAAUCGCGGUGUCAACGCGAAACUUACUUCUAGUUGUUUUUUUAGCUACAGAUGUGACAGCAGACCACUGCCAGCAAUUCUGAGUCCAAUUAUUCAUCUCCUCAGUAGCUAUCAUCGUCGUCCGUGGCAAUACGGGAAAUGCUGAUGCUAAUUCCCAAACCGUUCCAGUGUUCUGUUACAACAAACCAUUAUUUGAUAUGGAACUGCUACUCAUCCACGAAGAAACCCACAUCUCAGAAGCACCGUUCGAGUGUUGCUUCGGUACCACGAUGUUUACAGAACUGUCCCAAUCUCAGCUCUCACGUCAAUGUACACGAGGCAACUUGAGUGCUUAACCAUCGCAGGCCCGUCACCCGAUACAACAGUAAACUGCAGGGAUUCGAG